CAUUAAUAGCAGAAAGUGCAUAUUCAUGCUUUUGCUGUGAGGCAACGUACCCUGAUAUCUGCCUCUCUUCUCAUUUUCACCUUCCCCUCUAAAUUGCUCACAUUUUUCUCAUUUGUACAUUCCUGAUGAGUAAAGCAGAUUUAUUUCACCUGAGAGCAAGGAGGGAGGUGUCCAGUGAUAAGGCAAGAAUUUGAUGAGUAGCUGUGCAGUUUUUUCCUUUGAAAGCUCCUCACUCAACUUGUCCACCCUUUGGUGAUUAUUUCCUUUGGAAAUAGUUUUCUUAAAAACUACCUGGAUCUUAAGAACUUCACAUGCAGAGGACUGCUUUUGGGGUCCAGGAGUUUGAAACAGAAUAAGAUACUACAUUAGCCAGUGACCUGAAAUAAAAGCAAAUGGAACUCAGAAGAGCUUGCAGGGGUCAGGCAGUCCACGAUCUCCCUUACAGCCAGCUCCGUUUUACCCAGGCCAUUACUAGAAAAUGUCAGUUUGCCUUGUUCUUAAGAACAUCUCCUUAAAAACAUCCUCAAUCCUGCUACCUCAAGAAGCCAACUGUUCUGUUUCUCUCUCUUCUAGUAAGAUUUUUUGCUGGAAGUUAAGGGACUGCUCCUGCACUUCUCAAAGACAUAGCAAAGAUUCCCUGGAAGAAGAGUUUAUAAAACAAGAAAGCCAUAGAGAAGAUGAUGAGAGAGAAAGGGCAGAAGUGGAGCAGAAGAGGGAGAAAACUCACCAGUGAGAUUGCACAGAUGUUCAGCAGGGAAGAGAGCAUUGCCUGGUGGAAGGAAGCAGCUAUUAAAUGGAAAAUAAAUAACUGUCAAGCCCUGUUGUUGUGGAAGAAAGAAGAGGGCAUAGGGAGAGGACUGCAUUUGGAUUGUCUGUUUUGCAUCCAGUAUGCAGCUGUGAUAGAACAAGAGUCAUGGGUUAAAGCAGAGGACUUGUUCAGUUCAUCUUGGUUCAUGCUCAAACUCUCACUAGAGAAGAGUGGUGAGUCAUAUACAGUGGUCCACGCAUGGGAUGCUAACUUCAGGAGACAGUUGCCCAGCCAUGGAAGGUACCUAGGACACUGUGCCUCUUCCCUAAGGAAUCAGACUAGUUGCUGCAUUUAUUGCUUCUGGGCCUGCCAUGGAGAUUUCCUGUCUUCCAAAUUUCCUUUUGCUUAACUGUUUCCUUGUUUUUAACUCACAUUUCUGUCUGCGAGGGGAAUAUAAUGUCCACUUUUUGGAAUGGAAAACUUCAGGAAUUCUUUAGAAUAUAUACAGACAUAUAUUAACCAUCCCUGUACACACAGACAUAUAUGCAAGUAUUGGCGAUCAGUCCCAUAACCACUCCUGUCAAUUUAUUCCAGAAGUUAAGUACUGUCUUUAUGGAACUGCCUGGGAAAUAUAAACAAAUAAAGAGAAUCUCAAUGGCCCUCCAGAUGCCUUCUCAAGGAAUUGUAGCAGUGGGGAGAAACUCUUUACACAGCUGACAAAAUAAAUGAUCCAGGGGUGAGAGAUACACGCUGAGUUCUUACUUACAUCUGGGAGAGUAAUGUGUGCUGUGAGGCCCACACACUGCAUCCCAGUGUCUAUUCUGAGGGUAAAGACUUACAUGGUGUUGGGAUAGCCUUUUGUUUUCUCUCAGGCUGGAGAGAGUAUCUUGGGAAAAGAGAGAACUAAGUCAGGGCAAACCUCCCCUCAGCUUCUUCCAAACUCUUUACAAAACAAGUGGGAAAAUUUUGAAUCACAUUAAGGUAAAAAAUAUUUAGUUGUACAUGGAAAAAAAUGAUUUCUUGUGACCCAUGGAUUUUUUUCCAAUACAGGAGGGAAAAGACUUGAUAACAGCUCUCAGGAGGUUUGAGCAUCUCUGUGGUAAUGUCCCUGAAAAUGUGUAAUGUCAACCAGGAGUGAAAAUCUCUGCAGGGAGGAAGGAAAACACAGUGUCUUUGGUUCACAUCACUCCAUGGAGAGGAGGCUCUUGAUGCACAACGAAGCCCUUAUAUAUGUCAGUGACCGAAGGAAAGCUGAAGACUAAAGGGGGUGGAGGAAAAGUGCAUUAAAAUAAUAAAAAAUGUGUUAUGAAAUUUCAGUCAAAUGUAUGUAAAUCUUUAUUAAUUAAAGGACUUCUCAACAUGAUAAUGUGGCCAUGUAUUUCUUGGCAUUUUCACAAAUGAGGAAGCGCAGCUUCCUGCACUGGCAAUUGAUCUGCUUCCCAGUGUUAACAUUAACAUACUUGAGACUUUACAGCUGUUAACUUGAUGACUUUACAAUUGAUAUGAAACGUUUUCCAUACUGUCUUAAUCUUGUAAUCCAGAUUCUGCCACCUUUGGUCAUCGUGCAUGGCAUCAGUUUAAUAAAUAAGGUUGUUAUUCU
ensembl:lncRNA